UACGUAGGGGGCAAGCGUUGUCCGGAAUUAUUGGGCGUAAAGCGCGCGCAGGCGGUCAUUUAAGUCUGGUGUUUAAUCCCGGGGCUCAACCCCGGAUCGCACUGGAAACUGGGUGACUUGAGUGCAGAAGAGGAGAGUGGAAUUCCACGUGUAGCGGUGAAAUGCGUAGAGAUGUGGAGGAACACCAGUGGCGAAGGCGACUCUCUGGGCUGUAACUGACGCUGAGGCGCGAAAGCGUGGGGAGCAAACAGG
rnacentral:rRNA from 1 species